CUCGGCCCUGGGCAACAGGACCCGUGCGCAUCGCGCGCUGCAGGGACUGUGGGCUCUGCACCGCACGAUCCACCCUGCUGUUGGGGAGCAGUGGAGGAUCAAGAUCCCCAUCCUGCUCAUGACUAUGGAAGGAACUGCUCAGACCUGCCAGGACAACGUGUGGUGGGAGCACCUGCUGCUGAAGUUCCUGAACAGGACACUGCAGACCAUCGAUGACGAUGCCUGGAGCAGAGAGCUGAUCCUGGAGCUGCAGCUGCAGACGGCCAGCUACGCCUGCUCCUCUCCG